AACGAGGCGAACCGGGGGAACUGAAACAUCUAAGUACCCCGAGGAAAAGAAAUCAACCGAGAUUCCCCCAGUAGCGGCGAGCGAACGGGGAGCAGCCCGGAGUCUGAAUCAGCUUGUGUGUUAGUGGAAGCGUCUGGAAAGUCGCAGGGUACAGGGUGAUACUCCCGUACACUAAAACGCACAGGCUGUGAACUCGAAGAGUAGGGCGGGACACGUGGUAUCCUGUCUGAAUAUGGGGGGACCAUCCUCCAAGGCUAAAUACUCCUGACUGACCGAUAGUGAACCAGUACCGUGAGGGAAAGGCGAAAAGAACCCCGGCGAGGGGAGUGAAAAAGAACCUGAAACCGUGUACGUACAAGCAGUAGGAGCCCACUNGUUGGGUGACUGCGUACCUUUUGUAUAAUGGGUCAGCGACUUAUAUUCUGUAGCAAGGUUAACCGUAUAGGGGAGCCGCAGGGAAACCGAGUCUUAACUGGGCGUUAAGUUGCAGGGUAUAGACCCGAAACCCGGUGAUCUAGCCAUGGGCAGGUUGAAGGUUGGGUAACACUAACUGGAGGACCGAACCGACUAAUGUUGAAAAAUUAGCGGAUGACUUGUGGCUGGGGGUGAAAGGCCAAUCAAACCGGGAGAUAGCUGGUUCUCCCCGAAAGCUAUUUAGGUAGCGCCUCGUGAACUCAUCUUCGGGGGUAGAGCACUGUUUCGGCUAGGGGGUCAUCCCGACUUACCAACCCGAUGCAAACUACGAAUACCGAAGAAUGUUAUCACGGGAGACACACGGCGGGUGCUAACGUCCGUCGUGAAGAGGGAAACAACCCAGACCGCCAGCUAAGGUCCCAAAGUCAUGGUUAAGUGGGAAACGAUGUGGGAAGGCCCAGACAGCCAGGAUGUUGGCUUAGAAGCAGCCAUCAUUUAAAGAAAGCGUAAUAGCUCACUGGUCGAGUCGGCCUGCGCGGAAGAUGUAACGGGGCUAAACCAUGCACCGAAGCUGCGGCAGCGACACUAUGUGUUGUUGGGUAGGGGAGCGUUCUGUAAGCCGUUGAAGGUGGCCUGUGAGGGUUGCUGGAGGUAUCAGAAGUGCGAAUGCUGACAUAAGUAACGAUAAUGCGGGUGAAAAACCCGCACGCCGGAAGACCAAGGGUUCCUGUCCAACGUUAAUCGGGGCAGGGUGAGUCGACCCCUAAGGCGAGGCCGAAAGGCGUAGUCGAUGGGAAACAGGUUAAUAUUCCUGUACUCGGUGUUACUGCGAAGGGGGGACGGAGAAGGCUAUGUUGGCCGGGCGACGGUUGUCCCGGUUUAAGCAUGUAGGCGGAUGUUCCAGGUAAAUCCGGAACGUUACUAACGCUGAGGUGUGAUGACGAGGCACUACGGUGCUGAAGUGACAAAUGCCCUGCUUCCAGGAAAAGCCUCUAAGCAUCAGGUAACAUCAAAUCGUACCCCAAACCGACACAGGUGGUCAGGUAGAGAAUACCAAGGCGCUUGAGAGAACUCGGGUGAAGGAACUAGGCAAAAUGGUGCCGUAACUUCGGGAGAAGGCACGCUGAUGGUAGGUGAAGUGACUUGCUCAUGGAGCUGAAAUCAGUCGAAGAUACCAGCUGGCUGCAACUGUUUAUUAAAAACACAGCACUGUGCAAACACGAAAGUGGACGUAUACGGUGUGACGCCUGCCCGGUGCCGGAAGGUUAAUUGAUGGGGUUAUCCGUAAGGAGAAGCUCUUGAUCGAAGCCCCGGUAAACGGCGGCCGUAACUAUAACGGUCCUAAGGUAGCGAAAUUCCUUGUCGGGUAAGUUCCGACCUGCACGAAUGGCGUAAUGAUGGCCAGGCUGUCUCCACCCGAGACUCAGUGAAAUUGAACUCGCUGUGAAGAUGCAGUGUACCCGCGGCAAGACGGAAAGACCCCGUGAACCUUUACUAUAGCUUGACACUGAACACUGGUCCUUGAUGUGUAGGAUAGGUGGGAGGCUUUGAAGUGUGGACGCCAGUCUGCAUGGAGCCAUCCUUGAAAUACCACCCUUUAAUGGCUGGUGUUCUAACGUGGGCCCCUGAUCGGGGUUGCGGACAGUGUCUGGUGGGUAGUUUGACUGGGGCGGUCUCCUCCUAAAGAGUAACGGAGGAGCACGAAGGUCAGCUAAUCCUGGUCGGACAUCAGGAGGUUAGUGCAAUGGCAUAAGCUGGCUUGACUGCGAGCGUGACGGCGCGAGCAGGUGCGAAAGCAGGUCAUAGUGAUCCGGUGGUUCUGAAUGGAAGGGCCAUCGCUCAACGGAUAAAAGGUACUCCGGGGAUAACAGGCUGAUACCGCCCAAGAGUUCAUAUCGACGGCGGUGUUUGGCACCUCGAUGUCGGCUCAUCACAUCCUGGGGCUGAAGUAGGUCCCAAGGGUAUGGCUGUUCGCCAUUUAAAGUGGUACGCGAGCUGGGUUUAGAACGUCGUGAGACAGUUCGGUCCCUAUCUGCCGUGGGCGCUGGAGAAUUGAGGGGGGCUGCUCCUAGUACGAGAGGACCGGAGUGGACGCAUCACUGGUGUUCGGGUUGUCAUGCCAAUGGCAUUGCCCGGUAGCUAAAUGCGGAAGAGAUAAGUGCUGAAAGCAUCUAAGCACGAAACUUGCCCCGAGAUGAGUUCUCCCUGACUCCUUGAGAGUCCUGAAGGAACGUUGAAGACGACGACGUUGAUAGGCCGGGUGUGUAAGCGCAGCGAUGCGUUGAGCUAACCGGUACUAAUGAACCGUGAGGCUUAACCUU
rnacentral:rRNA from 1 species